rnacentral:lncRNA from 1 species
CACAAUAAUGAUUGAUUAAUUAAAGAUAAAAAUAAUCAAUUCCGUUUAUAAUUGCUAAAAAUCAUAUGUGCACGGGAACUUGAAACAAACAAAUAAAAACCAAUCUUGAAUUAAACAAGUUUACUUUCUUUGAUAAAGAUUGCAAAUCAAAAUUAAAAUUCUUGUCCUCGUCCUUAAGAUAGUCCACAAAAUUUGAAGGUUACAAGGAGAAGAUUAAAUAUACAAAACUAAAUAAGAAAAUAAAAAAAAUAAAUACUAAACUUGAAAUUAAGAAUUAUAUUUAAUCUAAUCAUAAGAUUUGGUACCACAACCAAGAAGAAACCACAAACACCGAAAGCAUUCAAAGUAUUUCAAGUAGCAAUUCUUUUUUUGUUUCUUGUUAUUCUUCUUCAAAGCUUUGAGUUCUCGUGCUCUUCUCAUUGAAACCAAGACAUCAUCUUUAUAAAUGCAUUCAUUCAUUUCUUCACAAUCAUCGUUGCCAUAAAAUACGUCAUCUCCCAUAGCUUUAUUAAUGUGAUGAAGUUUUUGCAUCGAAAGGUUUUGCUUAGAAAAGGAAUUUGAAUUCACCCAGAUACCUUUCAUUUUGUGUAACAAAAAACAGUGUACUUUAGGUUAUAAAUAACUUGGUUUUUGUUAUUAUUUUUAUAUUUCGUUUUUGACUAAGAUAUUUU